rnacentral:lncRNA from 11 species
GCUCUGGAUUUUCUUCAUCCCUAUGAAGAUUUUGAUUGUGAACUUCAUGCAUUCUGAAAGGAUCAGAAGUGUUUGAAAAAGAGUGAGAUAAAAUCAGACAGAUGUGGACCCCCAUCUAUAGAUCUGAAGCUCUCUUCCCCUGCAAAACAGAUGCUUGGCAGAGCAACCACCAGAGGAUACUCCCCCUCAGUGGCAGGGAAAUGGAUGGGAGGAGAACUCAGCUGCAUUUUCCUUCUAAGGCUGGUUUCAUAAUCUGUGAAGGAACUUCUGGUUCAGAAGUUGGAUACCUUGCAUUCUAGAAAACAUCGAAAGGGAGAAGUAAUUAAAACUAAUUUCAUCGGCAGUCCCUUUACUGUUGAACAUCUCCUCCAUGAUAUUGAGAGCAGCACUAGAAGGGGCAUGGAAGCUGUGGAGAGAAAGAAGAAAUGGCAAAACUGUUAUAAUAAUAGUCUCCUUUGUCAAACAUAGUAGUCUGUGUGCUCUACAAAAGUACUAUCCAUGAAAGAAAAGACAUUUUGGAUGCAGCCCAUCAACCUCAGUAAGAAAAGAGAAGAAAAGUGUGAGAAAUCUUGAAUAACAGUUGGAAUGAACUGGAGUUUAUACUUUGAACAAAUCUAGAUAAGACAUACUGAUGACCUAAACCAUGUCAAGUUUAGACCUCCAGCAUUGCUAUAUAUUAUCUAUAUUUAAACACAUAAUAAAAGUGAAAAACGUGUAUGUGUG